rnacentral:rRNA from 1 species
GUCGAGCGGAACGAUGGGAGCUUGCUCCCAGGCGUCGAGCGGCGGACGGGUGAGUAACACUUAGGAAUCUACCUAGUAGUGGGGGAUAGCUCGGGGAAACUCGAAUUAAUACCGCAUACGUCCUACGGGAGAAAGGGGGCAACUUGUUGCUCUCGCUAUUAGAUGAGCCUAAGUCGGAUUAGCUAGUUGGUGGGGUAAAGGCCUACCAAGGCGACGAUCUGUAGCUGGUCUGAGAGGAUGAUCAGCCACACCGGGACUGAGACACGGCCCGGACUCCUACGGGAGGCAGCAGUGGGGAAUAUUGGACAAUGGGGGCAACCCUGAUCCAGCCAUGCCGCGUGUGUGAAGAAGGCCUUUUGGUUGUAAAGCACUUUAAGCAGUGAAGAAGACCCCAUGGUUAAUACCCGUGUGCGAUGACAUUAGCUGCAGAAUAAGCACCGGCUAACUCUGUGCCAGCAGCCGCGGUAAUACAGAGGGUGCAAGCGUUAAUCGGAAUUACUGGGCGUAAAGCGAGCGUAGGUGGCUUGAUAAGUCAGAUGUGAAAUCCCCGGGCUUAACCUGGGAACUGCAUCUGAUACUGUUAGGCUAGAAUAGGUGAGAGGAA